rnacentral:lncRNA from 1 species
UUACGUAAUAUCAUAACAUCUCUUCUCAGUACAAAAUCGCUGGUAUUGAACUAUACUAAGAGGUGUUUGAAAUAUUUCAAUCAUAUGGGAUGGACAGCCAACACUCAGGCUGAUCAAAUAAAAAGCAUAAUAUUAAAACUGGCUGAGGCUGGACUGCUGCAUCACUUUAGCUUUAUUUAGAUGUACCUAAUAAACUGACGGUUGGGUAUUUUAAUAAUGUAAUAAUAUUUUAAUAGAUUAGCUGACAUUCCACAUACAUACCUGUUGUCUUCUUGCAACUCAAACAGGCUUCUUACAAUUAGGAUCACAACAUGAAUAUAUAUAUAUUAAUGUAAUACGUACAUGUACCUCAUCUGUGUCACAUACAUCAUUAGUAACGUACAGUAAUUAUACUUUUUGACUCAGAACCUGGGCAUUUAUGGUGCUUAACAAGCAAUGAAAGACAGACAUAUCUCAAGCAAACACCUGUCAAAAAAGGUCAGAUGUGAGAGGGAAAUUUAAUUCUGGUCAACAAUUCAUAUAGUUAAAUAAGUAUUAAAUAGUUGAAUGGAUAUGUAUAAAAUACUGAAGACAUAACUAAGCAAUAAAUAUUAUAACAACAUAGAAUAAACCACACUUAAAAUCCUCAAAAAACGUCACGUACGAAGGUUUGCACAUCUGAAUGAUCAUUUAUCUUCGCCGUUCUGCCGUGUUGGUGGUGACAUAGAUGGUACCAUAUCAGGAUUCUUCCUCCUAGUGAUUCACAGAAGAAACGUUACAUCAACAGAAAACUCUUCCCUCCAUGCUGCGAUACUGUCUGUGAUUUGUGUUUCUGUUUACAUUGACAAACUAGGAUCAGUUCAUGAUGCACUGGUCCUCUGCAGCUCAGCCAUGUACCAACAGUUGCUGCAUCCACCAGCUGGUACUUUCUGCUGGGAACUGGAGGAUAUCUGUGUCUGCAGCCUCCGGUUGUCAUCUUGACACCAAACCUCCGGCCUGUAGAAGGUAGAACACCUUGUGUCAAUAAACACAGACUGUCUGCAUGUCCGAGUGAACAUGUCUAUAUGUAGACAGCUACACUCUCCAGAUGUUGUCAUGUUCUCUAGAAGUUUACAAUGCAGUUUAGAUGACAGAUACAUAAAUAGAACACAUGAACAUAAAUUAAAAAGAUUUUGGAUAAACAUGCAAGAUAAAGUAAACUUUUAUCAUUUCUGAUUCUGUAUGACCUUUUGUCAUAUGUUCAACCAGCUAGCCAUGUAGACAGAUUAAUAUGCUACUACUUGUGUGUAAAUAUGUUGCAUAUGUACAUUUCUUGUAAUGUUCUUUUUCUUGAUCUUACUAAUUAAAAUUUAACUGCAU